AACGAACGCUGGCGGCAUGCCUAACACAUGCAAGUCGAACGAACCCUUCGGGGUUAGUGGCGCACGGGUGCGUAACGCGUGGGAACCUGCCUUUUGGUUCGGAAUAACAGUGAGAAAUUACUGCUAAUACCGAAUGAUGUCUACGGACCAAAGAUUUAUCGCCAUUAGAUGGGCCCGCGUAGGAUUAGCUAGUUGGUGGGGUAAAGGCCUACCAAGGCGACGAUCCUUAGCUGGUCUUAGAGGAUGAUCAGCCACACUGGGACUGAGACACGGCCCAGACUCCUACGGGAGGCAGCAGUGGGGAAUAUUGGACAAUGGGCGAAAGCCUGAUCCAGCAAUGCCGCGUGAGUGAUGAAGGCCUUAGGGUUGUAAAGCUCUUUUACCCGGGAUGAUAAUGACAGUAC
rnacentral:rRNA from 1 species